UGCGAGAUGAAAAGAGUGGAAAUGGAUUAUGCAAACAAUGAUAUUCUUGGAAAAGCAGUUGAGAAGAGUCUUAGCAGCAUUCUAGCAAAAUACAUCUGCUAAGAGUGAGGAGCAAUCAAACAAUGUUCAAGCAAAUCAACCCACAACAAAGACAAGUGCACAAUGGAUGGCGAAUUGAAGGAUGGAGCAAAUUUCAUGGUUUAUUUUUUGUGUAUCUUGCUAUGUUUUUGUUUUUCAUUUUUGAAGUAAGAGAUGUUUAAGAUUAUAGAACUUUAUUAUGUAUGUUUUCAAACUUAAUUUAGAACUAAGAUCUCAUGAAGUAGCCACAAUCAUGGUUUGAAUUUUAAUGUAAUACUUAUAGUUUAUCAAUCUAUUUAAUAUUACAUUUUGC